rnacentral:ncRNA from 2 species
AUGGUGUCGACCGCAGCUGGUUCGGCCACUCGACCCAGGGUGGCCGAGGCAAGAGGGAAGCCGGUGGAAAUCCGGGACUGCCCCGCAGCGGUGAGUGGGAACGACAGCCGUCAUCAGCACUGGGCCGCCAUCUGGCCUGGGAAGCGACGGCCAGUAGGUGACCGGGCGAUCCCGGUCGGGCCCGCGAGUCCGAAGACCUGCCAGCGCGCCGCGUACCCG